AACGAUGUAGUUUAUAAAGAACAUUGGGUUUGCAAUUCAAAAGAGGAUUUAGAUCUUUUCGUUA
rnacentral:tRNA from 1 species